AGGUGGACGAAUUUGUGGCCACAAGUGAAGUAGCAGCAUUUCCGGAGACAAAGGUCCACCAAUUAUGGUAGUAGUCGGCUUUUACUCCGCAGCCUUUCCAGCACAGCGGAGAGAUUGAGGGAUAGAUAUGGGUUAGUUUGGCUGGAGUUAAAUGCCAUCUGGCUGCUAGAAGGGAAAUACAGUGCCCUCUGAUGACCGCUUUUGACGCGUCCC